CAAAAGAACCAAAAAUAAAUAAAUUGAUAUAUUCACUUAUUUUUUUCCAACAAUAAUCAACCAUCUUAAAUUACGUAAAACGGCUAAUUCAUACAAAAAUUAAAGUUUGAAUACAAAAAUAAGAAAUAAUAUAUUUAUGGGAUUCCCACUAAACUAUUUAUUCAAGUGUGCAGAGCGCCAACGUGGGAUAAUAGAGUGAUGUUGUGUUUUGGAAGAUCCUGCGCAAGACCACACAGGCCAUAUUACAUGAAGCAGCGCAUCAAGGCAAAGGUCUAUCACUUGAUUUAUCUUCACCCUCAAUCUUGAUCACAUCAUGUGGUUCGUGUCUCUAUCGUACGUAUAGACCAAUACCCAGAUGCGCUGUUUCAUGAACAAAUUGCGCGGUCUUGAGCAAGAUCUGCAAGAACAGUUCACAAGGCUGAGCAUGAAACAUAAUGAGAGAGAGAGAAGUAAGUAAAAGAAAGAUGAACUAAGGAAAUAAACAGU
rnacentral:lncRNA from 1 species